rfam:Danio rerio chromosome 3, GRCz11 reference primary assembly.
GCCAGCAGCUAGCUCUCUGCAACUCUCACGUGGUCACCCACUGCAGUUAAGCAGGACUGCGCCUGGUCAGUACCUGGAUGGGAGACCACAUGGGAAAGCUAGGUUGCUGCAGGAA